CAGCAUGAGAGUAAGAGCUAGCCUACAUGCAAGUUGUGCAGCAUGCAACAAAAAGGAUACGUUUGUGUUUGCUCCUAAAAGAGGGAUUGUAGUGAUGGAAUCACUGCCGUUGUUCCUUCUGCGCUCGUUGUGCCCGGGCAACUGCCUUCUGCAGCUCCUCUCGGACUCGUCGAACUCUCGGAGAUCACAUGAAUCCUGCAUCAUGUUUCAAGUCAAAAAGAAAACCUGUGAGUUCUAUCGAGGUCUUCAGUUCAACUUCUCACUACAUCGGUGGCGGAAGAACCUGCUGCACUGCUGACAGAAGCGCUCGGUGUUAGACUCCGAGCACCACGGCUCUUGGAGUUUUGGAGUGCAGCUCGCACUCCUCCGCCCGAAACUGUCCACCUGGAACCUCGGCAGUCGAAGAACCAGCAGCGGGCGGCAGCCGGGGUAUAUGCCUGUGCUGGGCUGCAGCAUAGUAACAAGAGGACGAGCCAAAUAUGUGAAGGAGACCACCAGUUCCCGAGCUCCCAGAAGUCCCAUAACGGGACUCUGUCUUUUCCGUGUUGCUCUCCCAUUCUCCAUCACUCCUGCAGCUGCUACUGCUACAAGUCACAAGCUGUUUCACUUUCUCGGACACACGGAUAACGGCGACUGCCUUCACCGUAAAAAGACGCACAUCACGCAGAGGACAUUUGCCAUGGGCUGAGACGUGUUCGCUUAAUGGGCCGGUCCUGGAUUACCAAAUCUUGAUCCGCAACCAAUUGGAUGGGUGACGAUCACCCCUAUAAUUACCAUUUUAGCCUCUACCGGGUCGCUUUUCUCCCACGACCGCGGAUAGGCCCCGCAAGCUCUCCCAGUCUCGGCGAAACCCUAACCCCAGUCGAAUUCGCUAGUUUCGUCGAAUGGCGUCGAGUUGCGUGCGAUCCAUGAGCCGCCGUAUCGCUCUGUCUUGCCUCGGGUCACUCGGUGUCAGAUCGAGACCCGUCGCCGCCGCUCCGUGUCCGAUCCGCCGCUUCUCUACCCUCUCCAGGAUUCCUGUCGAGUUGGGGUGCUGCGGCGGCUCCCUGUUCCCGUUGCACAGCGCGGUGGCGGCGGCGAGGCUGACGUCGCGUUUGAGCGCCACCUCCCGCGGCGGCCGGACUCUCUCACAGGAUCACAUUGAUGGUACAUGAAGCAAAAUUGCUUCAUCCUUUUGCUAUUUUCAAAGAGACGGGUCAUUCGGUCGGAAGGUGAUUCUUGAAGUCUGACCACAGCCGGAGUGUCUUUUACCUGCUCAGGGAGGUGGGAGGUGCACGAAUUUGUAGAACUCGGACGUCGAUGAGUUCAAAUUUUACAGAAAAAAGGAUGUUAAAUAAUUGCUGAAUUCAGAGUACCUCAUUUCAUAACUGACCUUAUAUCUUCUAUUGUGCUGUAUUUUUCUCCCAUCCAUAAUUUUAGUAUGGUAUGCUUACGAACCUGUCAGCUUGAAUUAGGUUUCUCUCCAAUUUCAAUUUCAGGAGAAUAAAGGAACUUGAAAUCUAUGGAUAACUGAAAUGGAGAAUUCAUUACUUUAGUUGCUAUUGAAAAUUAGUACUAGGCAAUUUUUUAGAACUAUAGUUAUUGA